CAUAUGCUUGUCUCAAAGAUUAAGCCAUGCAUGUCUAAGUUCACACUGUCUCACGGUGAAACCGCGAAUGGCUCAUUAAAUCAGUCGAGGUUCCUUAGAUGACACGAUCCUACUUGGAUAACUGUGGCAAUUCUAGAGCUAAUACAUGCCUAUGAAGCUCCGACCCUCGUGGAAAGAGCGCUUUUAUUAGUUCAAAACCAAUCGCCAGUCGUCUUCGGGCGGCCGGUGUCCCCAUUGGUGACUCUGGAUAACUUUGUGCUGAUCGCAUGGCCUUCGCGCCGGCGACGCAUCUUUCAAAUGUCUGCCCUAUCAAAUGUCGAUGGUACGUGAUAUGCCUACCAUGUUUGUAACGGGUAACGGGGAAUCAGGGUUCGAUUCCGGAGAGGGAGCAUGAGAAACGGCUACCACAUCCAAGGAAGGCAGCAGGCGCGCAACUUACCCACUCCCGGCACGGGGAGGUAGUGACGAAAAAUAACAAUACGGGACUCUCUACGAGGCUCCGUAAUUGGAAUGAGUACACUUUAAACCCUUUAACGAGGAUCUAUUGGAGGGCAAGUCUGGUGCCAGCAGCCGCGGUAAUUCCAGCUCCAAUAGCGUAUAUUAAAGUUGUUGCAGUUAAAAAGCUCGUAGUUGGAUCUCAGGUGCAGGCGGACGGUCCGGCUCGCGCCGGUUCACUGUCCGUGUUUCCUGCCCUACUGGUCUGCCGGCUCUCUCCCGCGGGUGCUCUUCGCUGAGCGUCCCGGGUGGCCGGCGCGUUUACUUUGAAAAAAUUAGAGUGUUCAAAGCAGGCCUCGGCUGCCUGAAUAAUGGUGCAUGGAAUAAUGGAAUAGGACCUCGGUUCUAUUUUGUUGGUUUUCGGAACUGGAGGUAAUGAUUAACAGGGACAAACGGGGGCAUUCGUAUUGCGGCGUUAGAGGUGAAAUUCUUGGAUCGCCGCAAGACGAGCUACUGCGAAAGCAUUUGUCAAGAAUGUUUUCAUUAAUCAAGAACGAAAGUCA
rnacentral:rRNA from 1 species